CGAGCGAGGCGGGGAGCAAUCCCCAGUCGAGCGGCGAACGGGUGAGUAACACGUGGGUAACCUGCCUGCAGGUGGGGGAUAACUCGGGGAAACUCGAGCUAAUACCGCAUAGGAUCGAGAGAUCAAAGGGGGCGUGUCCACGAUGCCAAUCGGAGAUUCCGGUUGGCAUCGUGGGCCCGCUCUCGCCUGGAGAGGGGCCCGCGUACGAUUAGCUAGUUGGCAGGGUAAUGGCCUACCAAGGCGACGAUCGUUAGCCGGCCUGAGAGGGUGAUCGGCCACACUGGAACUGAGACACGGUCCAGACUCCUACGGGAGGCAGCAGUGGGGAAUUUUGCGCAAUGGGCGAAAGCCUGACGCAGCAACGCCGCGUGGAGGAUGAAGGUCCUUGGAUCGUAAACUCCUGUCAGCAGGGAAGAAGGUUGGUGACCUAAUACGUGAUCAGCUUGACGGUACCUGCAGAGGAAGCCCCGGCUAACUCUGUGCCAGCAGCCGCGGUAAUACAGAGGGGGCAAGCGUUAUUCGGAAUUAUUGGGCGUAAAGGGCGCGUAGGCGGCCGGACAAGUGGAAGGUGAAAUCCCCGGGCUCAACCCGGGAACUGCCUUCCAAACUGUCUGGCUGCAGUUCGGGAGAGGUGAGUGGAAUUCCCAGUGUAGCGGUGAAAUGCGUAGAUAUUGGGAGGAACACCAGUGGCGAAAGGCGGCUCACUGGACCGACACUGACGCUGAGCGCGAAAGCGU
rnacentral:rRNA from 1 species